UUAAGUGACUAAGCGUACACGGUGGAUGCCUUGGCAGUCAGAGGCGAUGAAGGACGUAUUAACUUGCGAUAAGCCCAGAUUAGGUAGUAAAAACCAUUUGAGUCUGGGAUUUCCGAAUGGGGAAACCCACUUACAUAAGUAAGUAUCGCUGCGUGAAUACAUAGCGCAGCGAGGCGAACCGGGGGAACUGAAACAUCUAAGUACCCCGAGGAAAAGAAAUCAACCGAGAUUCCGAAAGUAGCGGCGAGCGAAAUUGGACUAGCCCUUAAGCUUUUUAUGCGUCAGGUGAAACUUCUGGAAAGUUGUGCGAUACAGGGUGAUAGCCCCGUAACCGGCAACGCAUUUAAAGUGAAAUCGAGUAGGGCGGGACACGUGAUAUCCUGUCUGAAUAUGGGGGGACCAUCCUCCAAGGCUAAAUACUACUGACUGACCGAUAGUGAACCAGUACCGUGAGGGAAAGGCGAAAAGAACCCCUGUGAGGGGAGUGAAAUAGAACCUGAAACCGUGUACGUACAAGCAGUAGGAGCACCUUCGUGGUGUGACUGCGUACCUUUUGUAUAAUGGGUCAGCGACUUAUAUUCAGUGGCAAGGUUAACCAUCUAGGGGAGCCGUAGCGAAAGCGAGUGUUAACUGCGCGACUCAGUCGCUGGAUAUAGACCCGAAACCAGGUGAUCUAGCCAUGGGCAGGUUGAAGAUUGAGUAACAUCAAUUGGAGGACCGAACCGACUAAUGUUGAAAAAUUAGCGGAUGACUUGUGGCUAGGGGUGAAAGGCCAAUCAAACCUGGAGAUAGCUGGUUCUCCCCGAAAGCUAUUUAGGUAGCGCCUCGGACGAAUACUACUGGGGGUAGAGCACUGUUAAGGCUAGGGGGUCAUCCCGACUUACCAACCCUUUGCAAACUCCGAAUACCAGUAAGUACUAUCCGGGAGACACACGGCGGGUGCUAACGUCCGUCGUGGAGAGGGAAACAACCCAGACCGCCAGCUAAGGUCCCAAAUUACUACUAAGUGGGAAACGAUGUGGGAAGGCUCAGACAGCCAGGAUGUUGGCUUAGAAGCAGCCAUCAUUUAAAGAAAGCGUAAUAGCUCACUGGUCGAGUCGGCCUGCGCGGAAGAUGUAACGGGGCUAAGUAGUAAACCGAAGCUGCGGCAAUGCACUUUAGUGCAUUGGGUAGGGGAGCGUUCUGUAAGCGGUUGAAGGUGUGUGGUAACGCAUGCUGGACGUAUCAGAAGUGCGAAUGCUGACAUGAGUAACGAUAAAGGGGGUGAAAAACCUCCUCGCCGGAAGACCAAGGGUUCCUGUCCAACGUUAAUCGGGGCAGGGUAAGUCGACCCCUAAGGCGAGGCCGAAAGGCGUAGUCGAUGGGAAACGGGUUAAUAUUCCCGUACUUCUUACAAUUGCGAUGGGGGGACGGAGAAGGCUAGGUGGGCCUGGCGACGGUUGUCCAGGUUCAAGUGCGUAGGCUGAAGAGUUAGGUAAAUCCGGCUCUUCUUAAGGCUGAGACACGACGUCGAGCUACUACGGUAGUGAAGUCAUUGAUGCCAUGCUUCCAGGAAAAGCCUCUAAGCUUCAGAUUGUAAGGAAUCGUACCCCAAACCGACACAGGUGGUCGGGUAGAGAAUACCAAGGCGCUUGAGAGAACUCGGGUGAAGGAACUAGGCAAAAUGGUACCGUAACUUCGGGAGAAGGUACGCUCUUGAUGGUGAAGUCCCUUGCGGAUGGAGCUGACGAGAGUCGCAGAUACCAGGUGGCUGCAACUGUUUAUUAAAAACACAGCACUGUGCAAAAUCGUAAGAUGACGUAUACGGUGUGACGCCUGCCCGGUGCCGGAAGGUUAAUUGAUGGGGUUAGACUUCGGUCGAAGCUCUUGAUCGAAGCCCCGGUAAACGGCGGCCGUAACUAUAACGGUCCUAAGGUAGCGAAAUUCCUUGUCGGGUAAGUUCCGACCUGCACGAAUGGCGUAAUGAUGGCCACGCUGUCUCCACCCGAGACUCAGUGAAAUUGAAAUCGCUGUGAAGAUGCAGUGUACCCGCGGCUAGACGGAAAGACCCCGUGAACCUUUACUACAGCUUGGCACUGAACAUUGACCCUACAUGUGUAGGAUAGGUGGGAGGCUUUGAAGCAAGUACGCCAGUAUUUGUGGAGCCGUCCUUGAAAUACCACCCUUGUAGUGUUGAUGUUCUAACGU
rnacentral:rRNA from 1 species